GGGGGGAAACCAUCGGUGAUGGGGGAACUAAGUUCCAGAUUGCAGCAGCUGAAUAAGGAUACCAGGUCACUGGGGGAGGAGGAGCCACUGGGGUCAUCGCUGGACCCUGGGAGGAAGUCCCCUGUGACAGGCGCCAGUAAUCAAGAAUCAAGAAGGAAUCCAACACCUUUUGGGUGGAUGAAGCAAGGUUCCAUUAGGCUACACAGCUUUUACAUAUCCACUCAGCUCUUACUGUUCAAAUAGUUCCACGUUAGGUUAAAAACAAAGCAUAAAAAAAUGUGUAAAUAUUGAAUUCUAAUGAUCACUGCUGGGUGUGUUGUGCAUGGUUUGCUCUUUCCCAUGACAAAGUAUGCCACUGCCGCCCUAUCCCCUGCACAGCCGACUGCAGUGGUAAGUAAAUAAGAGAGACUGAGGGUUGAAGACACACCUAGCCAAUGGUACGAUGCUAGCGUUAGUCUUCCUUAGCAAUGCUAGGUCAAACAGGCCCUUUCAUUAGCAAUCCCC
rnacentral:lncRNA from 1 species